CCUGGAAACAACAGGAAUCUCGUGCAGGGGAAGCAGCAGGAGAGAGACUGCUGAGCCAGUCAAUAUCUGAAAACGCAAACAGCAGACACUGGACGUGAGGGACAGACUGGGGGACUUACACCAGAAGGGGAUUUGGAUCAGCACAUGGUUGGAAUCAGAGAAAUCGAUCUCAAACCACCACGACCCUGCAGGCCCCCUAUGGGAUCCCCGUGGGACAGAAAAGGCUCUCCACUGUAGACGGAGCUGGAGAGAAACCAUGCUCGUUUCAAGAGCAAAGCAGAGGGACAGUGGAGCAGCCCAUUGGGCACAGAAAGGUAAGGGACAUCCCUGCUAAAAUAACUCCAUGCUACAGAGGAAAAGCUGCUAACUGUAACACAGUCAGGCUGGGUUACGCUGCAUAGAUUGGGCUCACCAAUCCGGGUACUGAGAAGUUUACCCUGAGCCUGGACUCCUUGCAAGAACCUCGAAACAGGUCUAGCAGAAGACGGAGGCAACAGCAUGUGAUGAAAAGCCACAGGCACGUGUGCAGGGUACGUAUCCCUAACAAUGAGACGGGCUAAAAUGUUGCUAGCAGGAUCAAUUGGGCACCUGUAGUUAUUUCUUUUUUUGCACAACUUCUCCCUAGAGUUCCCCAGUCACAGAGCCCGCUUGGAGCGAAUUAGAAAGCAAGCAGGCACCAUCUGAAUCAAGCCACCUGCGUUGGCCUCUGAACACCAGAGGGACACGAGCAAUUAUUAACUUGCCAAUAAUCAGACACAUCAUGACCCCAGGGCCUAAAACUCCGUUUGCUGUCAUUGUUGAAGAGGCCAUCGGCGGGGGCAGGGUGAAGCUGUUCUGGUGUAAAUGACACAUGCCAUUACUGUACAGAUGGACUGCGGUUUUCCAUAGCUGACACGAUGACUCAGACUCCGAAGUCCAGGCUGGUGACUAGGAAGGACAAACAGGUGUCUGGGGCGGAGCCAGCUGCCCCACAAGUGAAGACAGGAAUUUUCACCUAGGCAGCAUUUUUCAUCUGAGAAUCUCAAAGGAAUCUUCAAGCUCCCCAUUUCUGGGACUACCAGUGAGUCCUCAAGCAAAACCAGGAGAGACCAGACAGACGUACCCAACAUUUCAAAGUUUGGGUGCUUGCUCUUUGCUGCUGAACUUCAAAACUCCAUCCUGUGACAGCUGGAAAAAACAAGGCAUAUGCUCUUCUCUCUCCCAGGAUGCUUUGCAGCAGUCACCAAAAUGCAGCCACCUCUUGGUUAGGGCCACAACAGCUGUUUAAAAGUGCACAGCAACAACAGAAGCAGUGAAGACUUCUCUAUCCCUUUGAAACCACCGGGGGAAAUUGAGGGUGGUGGGACAGAAAUGGGCUUGUUGGAAAUCGGCAAAAACAACGUUUAACAACCCAACUCUUGGGAGUUAAAUAUAAACAGGAUGGCAGGAUGCGAGGUUUCCAGCAGCCCAGCGCCUCCUACUGCCCAUCAGAUGCCUUUAUUCACAACAGCCAUAAGAGGUUUGUCCCCAUCCCAGACCUGGCCUACCCCCUUUCGUGCCUCAGAUCAUAGCAUGAUAUGAAAAUCUCUACAUUCUUUAUAGUCAGAGCCUUGGGAGGAUUAGAUUUUUGUUGGUAAAUGGCAAUUUUACCAGACACACAAACCUACAAAAAAUAUUUCCAUUGUUAAUAACUGAAAUUGGCAGAGGGGCAAAGUAAGACAAAGGCUGCUUGAGAAUUUAUUAGAGGCAAAAGCCAGCAAUUUGUUCUUCUGAAUUAGGCUUGUUCCAAAUGACUAGCAAAAGCAGGUAUGAUUUGUUGACUUAAGACUCUUGUCUUUGUAUAUAUUGACAUGCGAUGGUGACAAUUUGUGUUUUAACCAUCUAUACAACUUUCACUUUUUGAAUCUGUGUCUACUGACA